rnacentral:rRNA from 1 species
UUUAAAUGUAAUAAAAUUAGGCCUAAUUAGUAUUAGUUAUGUUCUUGAAAAUUAAAGAAUUUGGCGGUAUUUUAGUCUAUUCAGAGGAACCUGUCCUGUAAUCGAUAAUCCACGAUUGGCUUUACUUGUUUUAUAGAAGUUUAUAUAUCGUUGUGAUUGAAUAUUUUAGGAGAAUUAUAAUAUUCAGGAUUUUUAAUUAAACAAGAAUUCAGAUCAAGGUGUAGCUUAUAAGCAAGCAGAGAUGGGUUACAUUAAAUUAAUUUUUGGAUCAAUAAGGUUAAACUUUUUGUGAAAUUGGAUUUGUAAGUAAUUUAAUUUUAAUUUUUUAAGUGACUUGAGCUCUAAAAUAUGC